CAGUAGCCGCGGUAAUACGAAGGGGGCUAGCGUUGCUCGGAAUUACUGGGCGUAAAGGGCGCGUAGGCGGACAGUUAAGUCGGGGGUGAAAGCCCGGGGCUCAACCUCGGAAUUGCCUUCGAAACUGGCUGUCUUGAGUACGGGAGAGGUGAGUGGAACUCCGAGUGUAGAGGUGAAAUUCGUAGAUAUUCGGAAGAACACCAGUGGCGAAGGCGACUCACUGGCCCGUUACUGACGCUGAGGCGCGAAAGCGUGGGGAGCAAACAGGAUUAGAUACCCCUGUAGUCCCUGUCUCUUAUAC
rnacentral:rRNA from 1 species